AUUGCUCCUAUUUGUCAUUUCUAUUUAUUCCUUUUUUUUUUUAUUUAUUUUAGUUUAUGUUAUUUUAUUUUAUUUUUUUAUUCUAUAUUUUUUAUGCUUAAAAAAAAAAAUAUGUAUUCAAAAAUAUAAACAGAUAAAAAAUAAAAAAAUGUAUAUAUUUACAUAUAUAUGAAUAUGUAUAUAUAUAUACAUAUUUUUUUUUUUUUUUUUCACUAAUUUAUAAUCAGUGCAAACGUUAGAACCUAAACACUUGUGAAGUUUAUAACUGUGUCUUAUGUUCAAUUUCUAGUAGUUCUAAAUAUUAUAUAUAUUUGUUCAUGUGUUUAACUCUGAUAAGAAAAAAAAUGGGGCUAAAUAAAAAAGAAGACCAAAAUAUAAAUUUGGAUGAUUUACAAGCUGACCCUUCGUUUAAGGAAGAAGCCAUACGAGUGUGUACUCGUAUGAGACCUUUAUUUGAAAAAGAAAUCAAUAGUGGACACUUAAAAGCUUGGAAAAUGAAUGAAACUGAUAUGCAGUUGAUAGUUGAACCACUUUCUUUAACAGAAAUGUUAAAUGCGAGAACUCCUAAAACAAAGAAUAAAUCUGAUGUUAAAAAGAACGUAGAAAAGACGGAGGGACAAAAAGCGGUUAUACAACGGGUUUUUGCUUUUGAUAGGUGUUUCGAUGAUAUAGGUAAUUGAAUAAAAUUGUUAUUUUAUAGAAAGUAUUAAAUAUAUUUACAUAGUCUUUUUUUUUUUUUUUUUUUUUUUACAUGUACAUUUUCUAAUUUUAUUUCCUUUUUUUAUCGUAAUUUUUUUUUUGUACUCUUAAUUUUUUUUUUAUUCUUAAUUUUUUUUUUUUUUUUUUUUGUUUUAAUUAUUACCCAUUUUUGGUAGUUUAACCCAUGAUAGAUUAUUCAUCAUUUACGCGUAUGUGUUAAUACACAUAAGUGUGCAUAUAAAACACUCGUAUACAUGUUAAUAUCACAAUUUUUAUUAUGUUUUACAGUUGGAAAUGAAGAAGUGUACAAUCAUUUAGCAAGAGACAUAAUUAUUGAUACAUUUAAAGGUAUUAAUGGGUGCAUUCUCGCUUAUGGUCAAACGGGAUCUGGAAAAACACAUACUGUUAUGGGUAUUCCGUCUGAUCCAGGUAUGUUACCUAGAUCGCUAGCAGAAUUUUUAAUGGCAUUGAAAACCC
rnacentral:lncRNA from 1 species